rnacentral:misc_RNA from 1 species
GAUGAAGAACGUAGCGAAAUGCGAUAAGUAAUGUGAAUUGCAGAAUUCAAUGAAUCAUCGAAUCUUUGAACGCACAUUGCGCCCGCCAGUAUUCUGGCGGGCAUGCCUGUCCGAGCGUCAUUUCAACCAUCAAGCCCCGGGCUUGUGUUGGGGACCUGCGUCCGACGCAGGCCCUGAAAACCAGUGGCGGGCUCGCUGUCCACACCGAGCGUAGUAACUAACCUCGCUAUGGAGUGGCGCGGGCGCCUGCCGUAAAACCCCCAAUUUCACAAGGUUGACCUCGGAUCAGGUAGGAAUACCCGCUGAACUUAAGCAUAUCAAUAAGCGGAGGA